UUUUCAUCUAAAUGUAAUACCCAAACUUAUCACUUGGUGGCAUCCCAAAACUGGAACAAAAAGUUCAGGAAACAAUCUUGGAAACCAUGGCCUAUUAUGAACAGAGCACCUACCUGUGAGUGUUUAAUCCUAUUUCAUACCAAAAAAUGCAAAUGUUAACGAGAAAACUGUACUGAAUACAUGACACCUUACAAAAGUUCAAAACAAAACCCUCCCUUUGCCACAGAAGCUUACACGACUUUAACAAAAAUUCUAAAAAGUGUAUAUGGUAUUUUCUUUCUUUCCUUUUUUAAUUUUUUGAGACGGAGUCUCGCUCUUGUCGCCCACGCUAGAGUGCAGUGGCAUGAUAUCGGCUCACCGCAACCUCCGUCUCCUAGGUUCAAGCGAUUCUCCUGUCUCAGCCUCCUGAGUAGCUGGAAUUACAGGCAUGAGCCACCAUGCCCAGCUAAUUUUUGUAUUUUUAGUAGGCACGGGGUUUCACCACGUUGGCCAUGCUGGUCUCAAACUCCUGACCUCAGGUGAUUUGCCUGCCUUGGCCUCCCAAAGUGCUGGGAUUACAGGCAUGAGCCACUGCGCCUGGCCUCUUUCCUUUUUUUUUUUUUUUUAAAUAGAGACAAGGUCUUGCUAUGUUGCUCAGUCUGGUAUGUAUGUAUGUAUUUAUUUACGGAGUCUCGCUCUGUUGGCAGGCUGGAGUGCAGUGGCGCGAUCUCUGCUCACUGCAACCUCUGCCUCCCAGGUUCAAGCGAUUCUCCUGCCUCAACCUCCUGAGUAGCUGGGACUACAGGCGCGUGCCACCACGCCCAGCUAAUUUUUGUAUUUUUAGUUGAGACAGGGUUUCGCCAUGUUGGCCAGGAUGGUCUCCAUCUCUUGACCUCGUGAUCUGCCUGCCUCGGCCUCCCAAAGUGCUGGGAUUACAGGCAUGAGCCAUCAUGCCCGGCCAGUCUGGUCUUUAACUCCUGGUCUCAAGUGAUUCUCCCACCGUGGUCUCCCAAAGUCUCACUGCGCUCAGCCCUCUAACAAGUGUAUUUAGUAUUUUUUAAAGAAAAAAUGGCCGGGUGCGGUGGCUCACACCUGUAAUCCCAGCACUUUGGGAGGCCGAGGCGGGUGGAUCACGAGGUCAGGAGUUCAAGACCAGCCUGGCCAACAUGGU
rnacentral:lncRNA from 10 species